CUAUCGGGUAAAGCCAAUG
rnacentral:sRNA from 1 species